rnacentral:rRNA from 1 species
GAUGAACGCUGGCGGCGUGCCUAAUACAUGCAAGUCGAGCGAAAAGACGCGGAGCUUGCGCCUCUGACGUGAGCGGCGGACGGGUGAGUAACGCGUGGAUAACCUACCUAUAUGACUGGGAUAACUUCGAGAAACCGGAGCUAAUACGGGAGAAUAUAUUGCACCGCGUGGUUCAAUAGAGAGAGACGGUGUUGGUGUCACUACUAGAUGGAUCUGCGCCGCAUUAGGUAGUUGGUAAGGUAACGGCUUACCAAGGCAACGAUGCGUAACCGAACUGAGGGGGUGAUCGGCCACACGGGAAGUGAGACACGGACCAGACUCCUACGGGACGCAGCAGUAGGGAAUGUUCCGCAGUGGGCGAGAGCAUGACGGAGCAACGCCGCGUGAGAGAUGACGGUCUCCGGAUCGUAAUACUCUGUUAUUAGGGAAGAACCGCUGUGUACGUAACUAUGCCCGUAGUGACGGUACCUAAUCAGAAAGCCACGGCUAACUACGUG